rnacentral:rRNA from 1 species
UACGGAAGGCAGCAGUGGGGAAUAUUGCACAAUGGGCGCAAGCCUGAUGCAGCCAUGCCGCGUGUAUGAAAAAGGCCUUCGGGUUGUAAAGUACUUUCAGUCGUGAGGAAGGUGUUAAGGUUAAUAACCUUAGCAAUUGACGUUAGCGACAGAAGAAGCACCGGCUAACUCCGUGCCAGCAGCCGCGGUAAUACGGAGGGUGCGAGCGUUAAUCGGAAUUACUGGGCGUAAAGGGCACGCAGGCGGUUAAUUAAGUUGGAUGUGAAAUCCCCGGGCUUAACCUGGGAAUGGCAUUCAAGACUGGUUAGCUAGAGUCUUGUAGAGGGGGUAGAAUUCCAUGUGUAGCGGUGAAAUGCGUAGAGAUGUGGAGGAAUACCGGUGGCGAAGGCGGCCCCGUGGACAAAGACUGACGCUCAUGUGCGAAAGCGUGGGGAGCAAACGAGGAUUAGAUACC